ACUCUUAUCUUAGUACGUUCUUGUUCUUUGAUACCUUUCGUGGUUGUACCAGGGAGUUGGUUGUACUACAGGGAAAGUGGGUUUGCAUACUUAAUACAUUCGAUCCCCAACAAGGAAAGCAUUAACAUGACAGCACCAGAAGUCAAGUUCACACAGUUGUUUAUCAACAAUGAGUAUGUCAACUCUGUGAGUGGAAAGACAUUUCCUACCAUCAAUCCAACAAAUGGAGAGAAGAUCUGCGACGUUCAGGAAGGCGACAAAGCAGAUGUAGACAAAGCUGUAGUAGUUGCACGUGAGGUGAUGAAAGUUGGGUCACCAUGGCGACGGAUGGAUGCAUCAAAACGAGGCAAACUGAUAUAUAAAUUGGCAGAUCUCAUCGAGAGGGAUACUGAAUAUCUAGCUAGGUUGGAGACUCUUGACAAUGGAAAACCGUUGAGUGCUAGUCGAGUUGGUGAUGUCCCAGCAAUCAUUCGUGUGCUGCGUUAUUAUGCUGGUUGGUGUGAUAAGAUUACUGGAAAGACCAUACCAGUAGAUGGCGAUGUCUUCUGCUAUACUCGCCGUGAACCAGUCGGUGUCUGUGGAGCAAUCAUUCCAUGGAACUUCCCAUUGGGUAUGCUUGGAUGGAAAAUUGCUCCUGCUCUUUGUUGUGGGAAUGCUAUUAUUGUGAAACCAGCUGAACAAACGCCACUCACAGCCAUAUACAUAGGCUCUUUAGUUAAAGAGGCUGGCUUCCCGCCAGGUGUUGUCAACAUCAUCCCAGGUUAUGGUCCUACAGCAGGAGCUGCUAUUUCUGAGCACAUGGACAUUGACAAAGUUGCCUUCACUGGUUCAACUGAGGUAGGUAAACUUAUACAACAAGCUGCAGGGAAAAGCAACUUAAAACGAGUGACACUAGAGUUAGGGGGAAAGAGCCCCCUUAUUGUACUUGCUGACAGUGAUGUGGAUGUGGCAGUCAACUGGGCCCAUGAAGCUUUGUUCUUUAACAUGGGGCAAGUGUGCACCGCUGGAUCAAGGACUUUCGUACAGGAAGAGAUGUAUGAUGAAUUUGUUAAGAAGGCAACAGAAUUGGCCAAGAACCGCAAAGUAGGAGAUCCUUUUGAUGAUAGCUCACAAUCAGGCCCACAGGUGGAUAAAGAACAAUUUGAAAAGAUCUUGGAAAUGAUUGAAAGUGGAAAGAAGGAAGGUGCCAAGCUAGAAUGUGGGGGUGGUCGUAAAGGCGACAAGGGCUACUUCAUCCAGCCUACCGUAUUCUCAGGCGUCACCGAUGAAAUGCGCAUUGCUCGUGAAGAGAUCUUUGGACCCGUUCAACAAAUCAUCAAAUUUAAGGACAUGGAUGAGGUAGUUGAUAGGGCAAACCGGACUCUGUAUGGGCUUGCUGCAGCCGUGUUUACUAAUGAUGUAAACAAAGCCAUCAUGGUGUCAAACCGUCUCCAGGCAGGCACGGUCUGGGUUAACCAGUACCAUGCUUUGGAUGUAGCCAGUCCAUUUGGAGGUUACAAGAUGUCUGGAACUGGUCGAGAACUGGGCGAAGAAAGUAUUCAUGAAUACUCUGAAAUAAAGACGGUUUUGGUAAAAAUUCCAGAGAAAACCUGUUAAAUCUAUGAUGAGGGUGGCGAGUAUGCGUAUAUAUCUUGCAAGCCACAAGUUUGCAUGUAGGCCUACAACUUGUAUGCAAUUCAGUGGUUUAGAAGAUACCCACAGCUUGUUUUGGGCUUUCAGCCCAUUUUCUGAUUUGUGAUUUUUGUUCCGUAUAUACGUAUGUAAUUAAUAAAUAAAUCUAUCCUGAUUUUUAACAGUAAGCAACUGACAACUUUUAAUAAAGGUUGGAAAGUGGUUAUUCCAUCCAUAAUUGACAGUUUCUUUUAAAACUGCGAUUUUUCUGUAUCUAAAUUUGAAAAAUUAAAAUCAGUUGUCUUUCGCAUCUGAUUGUAAUGUUAAUUUUUAAAAUUUCAACAUCUAUUAAUCCUUUUAUUGUUUUAUUAUCAAAAAUCAUGAGGAUAAACAGUUUGGUAGUUUUGAGAAAAACAUGUUCUAUGGAUUAUGACAUCUAAAGUAAUUGCUUAUUUCUCUUUUGCCAACUCGAUUAGGUCAAAUAAAUUUAAAAAAAUACUAGUUUCUCGUCCGAUCGCACAUCCAUUUUCUCUGCCUCACCAAUUCCCCCCCCCCACCUUUAUUUUACGAAAUAUACGAAAAUCUGGCUAACUGACAUUAAAAUUCCUUUUGAUCGUUCAUAUUGUAUAAAUCAUGUCUAGUGCUUCUUUUAUUUGCUUUCAAUUUGUCUACUUUGUAAAAGUGAGAAAGUAGUAGCUGUUUCCCAUCGACCAUCUUGGAUUUGCCAUCUUAGAGUAAAAAAAAAAAAAAUGCAUUCAUUCUCCUUUCUUCAAAAUAUUAGGACGAGAAACUACAUUUUUUUACCUUGGCCUUAAUUUAAUGUUUUAAAAAUAACAAUAUGCCUUUGUACUGUAAUCAAACUGUGAACAAUAAAUUUGAAAAUUUAUCUUGUAUUUUAUGGAAUAUGAUGAAUACAGUACUAGUGUUUAAAUUUUUCUCUUUAACUGACUGCCGUGUGCAAAGGAAUAAUAGACCGUUCCUUGGAUGUUGUUUCUAAAGUUGGGAACUCACCAGCCGCGGAAUGCAUUGCAACGACGUGUAUGCAACGGAUUGUUUUUAAUGACAAUCCAUUGAGACUGCCACCGACAAUCAGCAGAUGGCGUCGUUGUUAAUGGGAGUCAACAUGGCAGUAUUUAAUUGUAAAUGUUUGCAUGAAAUUUCAAUGAUAGACAUAUAAUUAUAUAUAUAGAUGAUAUUUUAUUAUGCUAUACAUAUUCAAUAAAAUAAAAUGUGAAAAGA
rnacentral:misc_RNA from 1 species